rnacentral:rRNA from 1 species
GACGAACGCUGGCGGCGUGCUUAACGCAUGCCAGUCGAACGGAAAGGCCCUGCUUUUGUGGGGUGCUCGAGUGGCGAACGGGUGAGUAACACGUGAGUAACCUGCCCUUGACUUUGGGAUAACUUCAGGAAACUGGGGCUAAUACCGGAUAGGAGCUCCUGCUGCAUGGUGGGGGUUGGAAAGUUUCGGCGGUUGGGGAUGGACUCGCGGCUUAUCAGCUUGUUGUGGGGGAAGGGCUUAACAAGGCCUUGACGGGUAGCCGGCCUGAGAGGGUGACCGGCCACAUUGGGACUGAGAUACGGCCCAGACUCCUACGGGAGGCAGCAGUGGGGAAUAUUGCACAAUGGGCGGAAGCCUGAUGCAGCAACGCCGCGUGCGGGAUGACGGCCUUCGGGUUGUAAACCGCUUUCGCCUGUGACGAAGCGUGAGUGACGGUAAUGGGUAAAGAAGCACCGGCUAACUACGUG